UACGUAGGUGGCAAGCGUUGUCCGGAUUUAUUGGGUUUAAAGGGUGCGUAGGCGGUCUUAUAAGUCAGUGCUGAAAUAUCCCGGCUUAACCGGGAGGGUGGCAUUGAUACUGUAGGACUUGAGUGAAGUCGAGGUAGGCGGAAUUGACGGUGUAGCGGUGAAAUGCGUAGAUAUCGGGAGGAACACCUGUGGCGAAAGCGGCGCACUGGACCAUAACUGACGCUGAGGCGCGAAAGCUAGGGGAGCAAACAGG
rnacentral:rRNA from 1 species